rnacentral:rRNA from 1 species
ACGGGUGAGUAACACGUGAGUAACCUGCCCUUAACUCUGGGAUAAGCCUGGGAAACUGGGUCUAAUACCGGAUAGGAGCGCCCACCGCAUGGUGGGUGUUGGAAAGAUUUAUCGGUUUUGGAUGGACUCGCGGCCUAUCAGCUUGUUGGUGAGGUAAUGGCUCACCAAGGCGACGACGGGUAGCCGGCCUGAGAGGGUGACCGGCCACACUGGGACUGAGACACGGCCCAGACUCCUACGGGAGGCAGCAGUGGGGAAUAUUGCACAAUGGGCGCAAGCCUGAUGCAGCGACGCCGCGUGAGGGAUGACGGCCUUCGGGUUGUAAACCUCUUUCAGUAGGGAAGAAGCGAAAGUGACGGUACCUGCAGAAGAAGCACCGGCUAACUACGUGCCAGCAGCCGCGGUAAUACGUAGGGUGCGAGCGUUAUCCGGAAUUAUUGGGCGUAAAGAGCUCGUAGGCGGUUUGUCGCGUCUGUCGUGAAAGUCCGGGGCUUAACCCCGGAUCUGCGGUGGGUACGGGCAGACUAGAGUGCAGUAGGGGAGACUGGAAUUCCUGGUGUAGCGGUGGAAUGCGCAGAUAUCAGGAGGAACACCGAUGGCGAAGGCAGGUCUCUGGGCUGUAACUGACGCUGAGGAGCGAAAGCAUGGGGAGCGAACAGGAUUAGAUACCCUGGUAGUCCAUGCCGUAAACGUUGGGCACUAGGUGUGGGGACCAUUCCACGGUUUCCGCGCCGCAGCUAACGCAUUAAGUGCCCCGCCUGGG